ensembl:misc_RNA Y_RNA Y RNA
UGCUGGUCUGAGGGUAGUGAGUUAUCUCAACAGUUCACAGUCAGUUACAGAUCAAACUUCUUGUUUACUCUUUGCCCCCUUCUCACUACUGCACUUGAGUAGUCUUAA